rnacentral:rRNA from 1 species
CCUACGGUGGCAGCAGUGGGGAAUAUUGGACAAUGGGCGAAAGCCUGAUCCAGCCAUGCCGCGUGUGUGAAGAAGGCCUUCGGGUUGUAAAGCACUUUCAGUGGGGAAGAAAGCCUUGGGGCUAAUACCCUCGAGGAAGGACAUCACCCACAGAAGAAGCACCGGCUAACUCCGUGCCAGCAGCCGCGGUAAUACGGAGGGUGCGAGCGUUAAUCGGAAUUACUGGGCGUAAAGCGCGCGUAGGCGGUCUGAUAAGCCGGUUGUGAAAGCCCCGGGCUCAACCUGGGAACGGCAUCCGGAACUGUCAGGCUAGAGUGCAGGAGAGGAAGGUAGAAUUCCCGGUGUAGCGGUGAAAUGCGUAGAGAUCGGGAGGAAUACCAGUGGCGAAGGCGGCCUUCUGGAUUGACACUGACGCUGAGGUGCGAAAGCGUGGGUAGCAAACAGGAUUAGAUACCCCAGUAGUC